rnacentral:rRNA from 1 species
UACGUAGGGUGCGAGCGUUAAUCGGAAUUACUGGGCGUAAAGCGUGCGCAGGCGGUAAGUUAAGUCUGAUGUGAAAGCCCCGGGCUCAACCUGGGAACGGCAUUGGAAACUGGCUUGCUGGAGUGUGGCAGAGGGGGGUGGAAUUCCGCGUGUAGCAGUGAAAUGCGUAGAGAUGCGGAGGAACACCGAUGGCGAAGGCAAUCCCCUGGGCCUGCACUGACGCUCAUGCACGAAAGCGUGGGGAGCAAACAGG